GGAUUUACGUUUUUCUUUGGCAUAUAAUAUAAUAAUAUAUAAUCGCAGUUAACAUUCCAUCAACAUUUACAGCACGUCCCACAAUUUUAAAUUGAAAUAACAUUGUUUAGAGAGACAGCUUUGUGUAGACGCACCAUGGAAGCAGCCAAAACUUAGCCACAGCACGAGCCACAGGCAGGUAGUGAACUGUGAUCAAUCCCUCGAACAUUGUCUAGACCACGAGGUGGACCACGGGGACGACCACCAUAGGGGCCAGACCCAGGACCUCCGGGGCCACCACCGUCCCAUUUCUUCCCAGAACCGGAUCCUUUUCUAUAUGCCUCUGAUUUUUCCAUCGAGAACAAUGUGGUAAAAAACACACCGAUAACGUUUAUGAUGGCCCAAAAGAAAUCAGUUAUAGUUUUGAGACGCCAAAAUGACCUUUGGGAUUUCACUACACCUCGUUCAACGUACGCCAUGGGAGACUUUCCAGAGCUUUCUCGGGGUCGAAACGAAAGAGGC
rnacentral:misc_RNA from 1 species